rnacentral:rRNA from 1 species
GACGAACCGUGCGAACGUUAUUCGGAAUCACUGGGCUUAAAGCGCGUGUAGGCGGGUCGGUGCGUCGGCCGCUGAAAUCCCCCGGCUCAACCGGGGAAGGGGCGCCGAUACGACCGGCCUGGAGCGACGUAGGGGGAACUGGAACUUCCGGUGGAGCGGUGAAAUGCGUAGAUAUCGGAAGGAACGCCGGUGGCGAAAGCGAUCGACUGGACCUUUUCUGACGCUGAGGCGCGAAAGCCAGGGGAGCAAACGGG